UACGGGGGGAGCUAGCGUUUUUCGGAUUUACUGGGCGUAAAGGGUGUGUAGGCGGUUAAUAAAGUUGAAAGUGAAAUCCUUGGGCUUAACCUGAGAACUGCUUUCAAAACUUAUUAACUAGAGAACGAUAGAGGAUAACAGAAUUCCUAGUGUAGAGGUGAAAUUCUUAGAUAUUAGGAGGAAUACCGGUGGCGAAGGCG
rnacentral:rRNA from 1 species